ACUAUAGCUUCGUAGUGACAACCUUGAUCGAAUGUGUAGGAUAGGUGGGAGGUGGUGACACACAACGACCAAUCCUGAAAGACCACUCUUUCGUCUAAGGAUGCCUAACCACCGCACCGAUCAUUCGGGGGGGGGAUACUGCAAGGUGGGUAGUUUAUCUGGGGCGGAU
rnacentral:ncRNA from 1 species